rnacentral:rRNA from 1 species
UACGUAGGGGGCGAGCGUUGUCCGGAUUUAUUGGGCGUAAAGAGCUCGUAGGCGGUUCGAUAAGUCGGACGUGAAAUCUCCACGCUCAACGUGGAGGGGCCGUUCGAUACUGUCGUGACUCGAGUCCGGUAGGGGAGUGUGGAAUUCCCGGUGUAGCGGUGAAAUGCGUAGAGAUGUGGAGGAACACCAGUGGCGAAGGCGGCUUUCUGGUCUGUAACUGACGCUGAGGCGCGAAAGCGUGGGGAGCAAACAGG